CCUACGGGUGGCAGCAGUGAGGAAUAUUGGUCAAUGGGCGCGAGCCUGAACCAGCCAAGUAGCGUGAAGGAUGACUGCCCUACGGGUUGUAAACUUCUUUUAUAAAGGAAUAAAGUGAGGCACGUGUGCCUUUUUGUAUGUACUUUAUGACUAAGGCUCGGCUAACUCCGUGCCAGCAGCCGCGGUAAUACGGAGGAGCCGAGCGUUAUCCGGAUUUAUUGGUUUUAAAGGGGGCGUAGAUGGGUUUUUAAGUCGGUUGUGAAAGUUUGCGGCUCAACCGUAAAAUUGCAAUUGAUACUGGCAGCCUGGAGUGCAGUAGAGGUAGGCGGAAUGCGUGGUGUAGCGGUGAAAGGCUUAGAUAUCACGAAGAACUCCGAUUGCGAAGGCAGCCUACUAAACUGCAACUGACAUUGAUGCUCGAAAGUGUGGGUAUCAAACAGGAUUAGAUACCCGGGUAGUC
rnacentral:rRNA from 1 species